rnacentral:lncRNA from 10 species
CCAGGACUUCACCAAGGGGCAGGAGUGAGCAGAACCGGCCAAACCAGAGGAAAACAGGAGGCUACGCAGGGUGCCCACAGCUGCCCGGUGGCUGCACCUGGGGGAUGUGUUGUCAGCCUGUGGAUUUCCCUUGGGUGGGUCCUGGGCACCACCCUCCCUCGUACAGAAAGCCCUGCUGGGAGCCAGAGAGCCAGGAUCUGUUGCCUUUCUCCCGAAGCCCCCGGCUCAGUGGUGCCAGCAUUGAAGAAAUAUCUACCACAUAAAAAGCACACCGAGGAUCCACAGCUUUCUUUGAAAAAUAAUCUUUAAAUUUAUGCAAAUAAAUUAUCUAUGGCUACAGCUUCUCUUGAAUACCGCAGAAACCAAGAGUCAGAAACGUUAACAAGCCUAAGUUCUUGCAGCGAGGACAUGAUGGAACACGGUUUGAACACAGUUCCUUCCCUUCCAUCCACAGACUCUACUAUGAAAUACUUUCUACACAAAGUGCAAUGAUAGUGCCGACUGCAAUUUCUAAUUCUGCAAAGUGCAAUCUCCUGGAUUUCUUGUUCACUUUAGCAUUGAAACAAACCAAGACCUAUUCACAGUUUUGCCUUUCAGAUGUUGCUCCCCUUAGAUUGUCAUCCACAAACAGGCGAGACGGAAAGCUGUGCAAGUGAAUCCAUAACCCCAAGACAGAACUGCAGGAUUCCUGGUGUUCAACCUUGUUCUCGCCCUUUGCGAAUGGUUCCAGAGCUGCUUGCUGAAUCCUGGGCUCAGAACCUCCUCUGUGACUUAGGUCAUUAUGAGAACGAAUAUACAUAACAAAGGGUACCCCUGAAAGGGCCUCUGACCCCAGCUGUUUAGAUCCAUCUAAACAUGCUUGAAAAUACACAACGUAAACCAUCUCCCUUGUUACCUUGGAAAGCAGUAAGGAUUCUAUGCAGGUUGUGCUAAGGAGAUAUUUAAGAAAAUUUUUUUCCAUACUAAAUGUGUUCAUUUGAAAUACAGAGAUCAUCUUCUCAUUUCUAUAAAUGGGAUCUGACAGGAGAAGCUCCCAAAUAUAAGAAGUGUUUCUUCCACUGCAUUCAAUGGAAAAUGGAGCACGCUAAACAGUGCUAGUGAAACAGACAUUCGUGUGCACACGCGUGCGUGUGCUGUGCGUGCACAUGUGUGUAUUAUUCCACCUGCAAAAUGGAAAUUCUUAGAACACCUUUCAGUAUACAUUUCAAAUAAUAUCACAAUUAAUGACUGGAUUUCAGAAAAUGGCUUCUUUCCAGAUCAUUUCCACAUUCAGGGUAAAAAGUGUUCUUGAGCUUUCUGUGCCCUUGCAGGAGAUGAAGGCAUGCUUGUUCCCUAACAGCACAUUUUUGAGGGAAAUCCACAUUUGCAUCUCACUGUUGGCACCCACAUCUGGGAUGCCCCCACAGCUGCCCCGACAACCCAUCUCUGGGCUCUUGACUGCAGAGGCUCGGAAACGCCAUACCCUUGACCGCAGAGGCUCGGAAACGCCAUACCCUUGACCGCAGAGGCUCGGAAAUGCGAUACCCUUGACCGCAGAGGCUCGGAAAUGCCAUACCCUUGCUUGGCUGCCCUCCUGGUGCUGACGGUGCCUCCGAGAUGUGACCCCGCUCCAGCUGGUGAGUCUAUGGAGCACCUGCUCAGUGGCUUCUGAGCAGAGUCCGGCCUUCUCCAUACUGAUGACUGCUCUUCCUGGAGCCCGUGGCAGGUGGGGCUGCAAUGGCUGACCCACGGCCAGCUGAGAGUGAGAGCCAGCAUGCUCAGAUGCAUGACGCUGGCUUGGGUCCCAACGGGGCUGACCCCAACCCGGUGUGGACAACCUCUUCUGGCUCUCCUCUGCCCUGGUCCCAGUGCAGCUAACAGUGACCCAGCCAUGACAACCUCCUUUGCCCUGGUCCUCGUGUAGCUGACCCCAACCCAGUGUGGACAACCUCCUCUGGCUCUCCUCUGCCCUGGUCCCAGUGCAGCUGACCCUGACCCAGCCGGACCAACCACCUCCGGCUCUCGUCCACUUGGCUCUACCCGUCCUUUGCUAUAACCAGGACUGGGCAGGUUUGAAGGAUGUGCCACCAAAGGCUUCCCAAACAGAACACGAGGAGAAGGCAUCUUAAUAAGGCACCUCCCACGUAAGUCUGGGUGCUUGGAAGUGCAAGAAAGGCCUUCUGCAAGAUGGCAAGCGUAGCACUCGUGUAGUUGACAGUGUGUUGGGGACAAAGACUGGAACAUAGAUUUCUUAAUGCAAAAUGCUAAAAGGAAAUGUAGAGUGUGUGCCAGCUGGGAGGCGGGGAGUGAGCAUUGUUUGUCUGGAGAGCAGAGGGUAAAGGGGGAAAGGCAUUCUGGGAGAGAAGUUUGGGGAAGCAGAGUGGGAAACUGUGAGGGACACCCCAGACAGCUUGAUGUUUAUGCCACAGGCAAAAGAAAAGUACUGCAAGUUCUUAAUCAGGGACUUGUGAGCUGGGAGCUCAGGACGGUCCCUGUGCGUGGGGCCUGGAGGACGAGGUGCCUGAAUGCAGGAAGUGGUGUCCUGGACACAGACCCCGAGAGGCUCCUGCAGACUUGAGCUGGUUUCUCAUGAGACACCAAAGGGCUUGGAUUUUAGGGACAGAGCCCACAGGAAUGAGGAAUGUGUUAGAGGUGAGAUGAUUCCAAGGCGCCUAGACUUCUCCCAACAAAGGCAAGAUCUAUGAUAGGAAGAAAAACAGGUUUUGGAGGUUGGACCUGAGUUUGAUUUGGACCUGCUGAUUCUAGGGCACUUCCAAGAAGUCUGUGAAAGAACAGAGCAAGUGUGACGGGCAGGGCUGUGAACCUCUGAGUGCUUCAGAUGUAAAAGUGUGGAAGACGUCGGGCUGUGAGUGUCACGCAGCAGAAAGGUGGAGGAGGCCUCUCAGGUGAGGCGGGGCCACGAAGGGAAUCCAGGAGGAAAGUGAGAGGGGCGUGGGGCGGGGGACGCUCCUGGGCACCCGAGGGACAGGAGGAGCCCGGCCCCGGAGCAGAUGCUGAGAAAUCAAGUGGAAUGAGAUGGGGAAAGACCGUCAGAUGCAGCAAGCUGGGGUCAUUUUUAAAAAGGACAGUUUCAGUGGAUAUGGGUGCAGAAAUGAGAUCGCAGACGUUAAGGUAAGAAAAUGGAAGUAUGAGUGGAACUUUUGAACAACUUGUCAGGAACAGCAGAGAGGACAGGCGAUUUGAGAAAGGCUGUGAGUUUUCUUGGAUGGGGGGAUGAAGCAACGUGAACAUUUAUUUUUAGAAGGUGAAAAUAAGACACCAUGGGAAAGACACUCAAAGAGGCGGGCCUGGGAUCAUUUUUCCUGUCUACAGGAAACGCUAUGCUGAGGCCAACAGUGUGCUUGGCCGUGAAAUGUGCUUUACAGGUCGGAAGUAACAUGGUGCGCAGAAGGCAGUUUGUAUGCACAGUGGAGCACAUGUGUUGAUGCCUGAAAGCCCACAUUGAGAUCCUGGCUCAACCUCUCGCCAACGGUGUCAUUUGGACAAAUCUCUUAAUCUAUGCAACGUACAAUGAGGACAGUAGUCACAGGACAUAACUUAUGGAGUUCUGUGAAUAUAAGGGAAUCUCCUCAUCUUUGCCACCGGUGGGGUACCCUCCCCACUCAUCCUGAGGUACCUGGGAGCAGACAGACAUGAAACACGCAUCAACUUUGUCACUGAGAACGGCAGCAUCAGCUCCUUUUUGGAAACAAAUCCUCUACAAUUCCAUAAAGAUACACCUCUUUACAGUCAUUUAUCAGUUAAAGUCAGAUGUAUAAAAAUGCAUAUCCUAAAAGGAAAUGAAUAUAAAAAUGUUGGUUUUUCUUCAUUAUAAGUGAUAGGUAAACACUAUGGAUAAAGUGAGAACAUGUGAGAAAAGUAAGAGAAGAAGGGACACUUGCAAUCUCAGCAGCUGGGACAAAGCACUGGCUAAAAUUUAGUUUUAUUUCCCUCUGGUAUAAGAGGAAAUUGAAAGUUGAGAAACUGAACAGAGAAGAAAAGGAAAAAAAAAAAAGAAAACAAGGGAGAAAAUGCCUAUCUUAUUGUAUACUUAUAUCUUAAUUGCAAGCAAAUAAAAGAGGACGGUUUUAAAUCUAGAAGCCAAGUUCUAUCAUACAUGCAAAUUCUCAGUACUCAGAGUUGCAAAAGGAUCUUGCCCAGCCACAUCACAUUCCACCUGACAUAUCACCAAGCACCUGUGCAUGGAAUAUGUCUGCCUGUUACAGAACUCAGCACCCGCUCAUGUUAUAUAUCUGGGUGGUACAGAGCUGAUCACCUGUGCGUGUUAUACGUCUGCCUCGUACAGAGCUGAGCACCCAUGCAUGUUAUAUGUCUGCCUGGUGCAGACCUGAGCAACCAUGAAUACUAUAUAUCUGUGUGGUAUGGAACUCAGCACCCACGCAUGUUAUAUGUCUGCCUGGUGCAGACCUGAGCAACCAUGAAUGUUACAUAUCUGUGUGGUAUGGAACUCAGCACCUGCCUGUGCAUGCAAUAUAUCUGUGUGGUACAGAGCUGACCACCUGUGCUUGUUAUAUGUCUGCCUGGUACAGAGCUGAGCAACUAUGCAUGUUAUGUGUCUGCCUGGUGCAGACUUGAGCAACCAUGAAUGUUAUAUAUCUGUGUGGUAUAGAACUCAGCACCCGUGCGUAUUAUAUAUCCGCAUGGUACCAAACUGAGCAACUGUGCAUGUUAUACAUCUGCCUGGCACAGAGGUGAGCACCUAUGCCUGUUAUAUAUCUGCCAGGCACAGAACUGGGCCCAUGUACUUGCUAUAUAUCUGCCUUGCACAGAGCUGAGAGCCCAUACAUAUAACCCCCCUGUGCUGUGUAUCUGACUGUUCGAGAACUGAACCCACGUGCAUUUUAUAUAUCACCCAUAACGGCCCCACAGGCUGCCUGCUGUGUGUUUGCGUUACGUGUCUCUCUGAGGGGAGGGUAAACCAUGAAGAUGACAGUGCAGGCCAGUAUUCUGUUUCCAUCCACCAUCUGUGAAACUGGAAACCCAACAUAGCCAUGAGCAAAAAGUCAUGGAACUGGAACACAAUGGUUUCCAUUGCGGGAGCUGCUCCCUGCAGGUCAGGACCUGGUUUCUUUUCCCCACGGUUCAUUAGCUUUGAACAGCUCCCCAGAGGCUCUGGGUAAAGUUCACUCCAUAGGUCAAACUCACGUUUACAAAGGCAAAAGAACACAGCAUGCAGUCGCUGAGUGUAGAGAACUCCAAAGCUUUCCACAGCAACUAGCUCAUCACCCACAGUCUGUAGUCAAGGAACUAACAUAGCAUGUUUUUCAUGUAGGAGAAGAGAAUCUCCCCAAAUGCUGUUUACAGAGAAAGAAAAUAAAAAAUUUCCAUAUUUAAAAGGUCUUCAGACAGGGUAUUUUUUUUCCUUGCUGUAAAAUACUUAGCUACUGAGGUAUACUACUUAUAUCAUCAGAAAAGGAACCUGCCAUCUUUCCAGUGUCCAUAUUGCCUGUGAGCCGAUCGACAGCACUACCAGCAGGGAUCUGCGUGGCUGGUGGUGAAGGCAGGUCUUCUGGCUGAAGGCCCCUGUAUUCAUUCCUAAAUGCCAUGCCACACCAGUGCUCCGGCAGAUCUGACAUCUUCCACAUUGCAGCCCAGGACAGGAGCCAAGGGAGAGGGAGAGGCAUGCUCAUUUCUGUCACUCACAUAUCCUGGACUUCCAGCCUGGACGAGCAGGAGCUCCCCUUACCAUGGACCCCGUGUGGCAAGGAGUCCUCAACACCACACAGUCCCGCAGCAACGAGGCGCGGACACCCGGACACUGCACGGUCCCCGCAGUAACGAGGCACGGACACCCCAACACCACACAGUCCCCCAGUAACGAGGCGCGGACACCCCAACACCACACAGUCCCCCAGUAACGAGGCGCGGACACCCCAACACCACACAGCCCCCCAGUAACGAGGCGCGGACACCCCAACACCACACAGCCCCCCAGUAAUGAGGCGCGGACACCCCAAAACCACACAGCCCCCCAGUAACGAGGCACGGACACCCCAACACCACACAGUCCCCCAGCAACGAGGCGCAGACACCCAACACCACACAGUCCCCCAGUAACGAGGCGCAGACACUCCAACACCAGUCCCCCAGUAACGAGGCGCAGACACCCCAACACCACACAGCCCCCCAGUAACGAGGCGCGGACACCCCAACACCACACAGUCCCCCAGCAAUGAGGCGCGGACACCCCAACACCACACAGUCCCCCAGCAACGAGGCGCGGACACCCAACACCACACAGUCCCCCAGUAACGAGGCGCGGACACCCCAAAACCACACAGCCCCCCAGCAACGAGGCGCGGACACCCCAACACCACACAGUCCCCCAGUAACGAGGCGCGGACACCCGGACACUGCACAGUCCCCGCAGUAACGAGGCACGGACACCCCAACACCACACAGUCCCCCAGUAACGAGGCGCGGACACCCCAACACCACACAGCCCCCCAGUAACGAGGCGCGGACACCCCAACACCACACAGCCCCCCAGUAACGAGGCGCGGACACCCAACACCACACAGUCCCCCAGUAACGAGGCGCAGACACCCCAACACCACACAGUCCCCCAGUAACGAGGCGCGGACACCCCAACACCACACAGCCCCCCAGUAAUGAGGCGCGGACACCCCAACACCACACAGUCCCCCAGCAACGAGGCGCGGACACCCCAACACCACACAGUCCCCGAGCAACGAGGCGCGGACACCCAACACCACACAGUCCACCAGCAACGAGGCACGGACACCCAACACCACACAGUCCCCCAGUAACGAGGCGCGGACACCCCAACACCACACAGUCCCCCAGUAACGAGGCGCCGACACCCCAACAACACACAGUCCCGCAGCAACGAGGCGCGGACACCCGAACUCCACACAGUCCCCCAGUAACGAGGCGCGGACACCCGAACACCACACAGUCCCCCAGCAACGAGGCGCGGACACCCCAACACCACACAGUCCCCCAGUAACGAGGCGCGGACACCCCAACACCACACAGUCCCCCAGUAACGAGGCGCCGACACCCAACACCACACAGUCCCCCAGUAACGAGGCGCAGACACCCCAACACCACACAGUCCCCCAGUAACGAGGUGCAGACACCCCAACACCACACAGUCCCCCAGUAACGAGGCGCGGACACCCCAACACCACACAGUCCCCCAGUAACGAGGCGCGGACACCCAACACCACACAGUCCCCCAGUAACGAGGCGCGGACACCCCAACACCACACAGUCCCCCAGUAACGAGGCGCGGACACCCAACACCACACAGUCCCCCAGUAACGAGGCGCCGACACCCCAACACCACACAGUCCCGCAGCAACGAGGCGCGGACACCCCAACACCACACAGUCCCGCAGCAACGAGGCGCGGACACCCCAACUCCACACAGUCCCCCAGUAACGAGGCGCGGACACCCAACACCACACAGUCCCCCAGUAACGAGGCGCGGACACCCAACACCACACAGUCCCCCAGUAACGAGGUGCAGACACCCCAACACCACACAGUCCCCCAGUAACGAGGCGCGGACACCCCAACACCACACAGUCCCCCAGAAACGAGGCGCGGACACCCCAACACCACACAGUCCCCCAGUAACGAGGCGCGGACACCCAACACCACAGUCCCGCAGGCCCCUGUGGGUCACGGUGCAGGUGGAUCACAGCUGUAGCACCCCCAAGGUGGCCCAGGCACACGGCAGCUCACAGUGACACCCUAGCACCACGCACACUAGAAGAUCCAGAUGCUGUGAUGAGGAGAGGGUUGGACAGGAUGGGAAGUUCCAGAUUCUCCCUCCACCCAGAUUCCAAGAGGCCCAAAGGCUCAGGACAAGGAUCCUGAACUGUGACCGUGAGCUGGACAGGCGGUGUCUGUGGUGCUCUCCAGCCGGGUUCUUCUAAAGCCUUUAUGACCUGGUGCCUUGUGCCCAGGUCUGCACGUGUUCAAAGAGGAAUACAGACCGCGCUGAAAGGGAAUUGGAGGUAUUGUAUGCAUCUCUUCUCACACUGCUAAUAAAGACAUACCCCAGACUGGGCAAUUUAUAAAGGAAAGAGGUUUAACUGACUCAGUUCCACGUGGCUGGGGAGGCCUCGCAGUCAUGGCAGAAGGCGAAUGAGGAGCAAAGUCAUGUCUUACAUGGUGGCAGGCAAGAGAGUGUGUGCAGGGGAACUCCCUUUUAAAAAACCAUCAGAUCUCAUAAGACUUAGUCACCAUCAUGAAAACAGCACAGGAAAGACCCACCCCAUGAUUCAGUCACCUCCUACUGGGUCCCUCUCAUGACACAUGAGGAUUAUGGGAGCUGCCAGGCAAAACGAGAUUUCGG